ACAGAAAUAGCUAAGUUGGAAGAGCGUUAGACUAUAGAUCGAGAAGUCCCUGGUUUGAACCCGGGUUCCAGCC
rnacentral:tRNA from 1 species